rnacentral:rRNA from 1 species
CCUACGGGGUGCAGCAGUAGGGAAUAUUGCUCAAUGGGGGAAACCCUGAAGCAGCCACGCCGCGUGGAGGAUGCAGGUUUUAUGAUUGUAAACUCCUUUUGUGCGAGAAGAUAAUGACGGUAUCUCACGAAUUAGCACCGGCUAACUCCGUGCCAGCAGCCGCGGUUAUACGGCGGGAGCACGCAUUACUCUGAAUCACUGGGCGUUAAGAGUGCGUAUGCGGGUUGGUGAGUCAGAUGUGAAAUUCUGGAGCUUAACUACAUAACUGAAUUUGAAACUGUGAGUCUAGAGUGUGGGAGAAGUAGGUGGAAUGCUUGGUGUAGGGGUGAAAUCCGUAGAUAGCAAGAGGAAUACUGAUUGCGAAGGCGGCCUACUGGAACAUUACUGACGCUGAUGCACGAAAGCGUGGGGAGCAAACAGGAUUAGAUACCCGAGUAGUC